UGAUUCAUAUCAACAUUUGUGGGCCCUUUCCCACAACGUCUCUCAAAGGCUCAAACUACAUCCUGGUCAUAGUCGAUGACCACAGCCGUUUUACUUGGGUGUCGAAUUCACGUGCUGCUUUGCUAGAAUCCUAUUCUCACAAAGAACCUACGCCACCCAGAUAUUGAAGGAGUUCGGUAUGCAGGAUUACACUCCAUCCUCUACACUGAUGACAGAAGGGCUUAACCGCAACAGGGAGCAUGACUCACCACAAGUGGAUGCGAGGCGAUUUCAAAAGCUUGUAAGAAUGCUCAUUUACUUGGUAAACAUAAAACCCAAAAUUACUUUUGCCACUGGAGUACUCAGUAGAUUCAUGCAUGACCCUUGAGUUCCGCAUCUGCAAGCUGCAAAUCGAAUUCUUCAAUACACAAAUGGCACACUAGAACUUGGAACCUUCUAUGAACAAAACCAGAACUCAACUAUUCUAGGCUUCACAGAUUUUGACUGGGCUAAUUGUAAAGUCAACAGAAAAUAAGUCACCGGCUGGGUAUUCAAAAUCAGCAAGGAGACCGAUCUCGUGGGCAUCUAAAAAGCAACACAACAUUGCAAUUUUAUCUAUAGAUGCGGAGGCACGAGCACUGGCAGAAGGAAUCCGUGAAGCCAUCUAGCUUUAAACUCUAGCUUCCAGAAUUCAUGGAACGGAUGAAGAACCCAUAUUCAUCUUCUGCAACAAUCAAAGCACUCUCAAAUCUCCUCGCAAUCCAGUACGUCAUGACAGGUCCAAACACAAUAAGAUGUAGUUAUAUUACAUAUUGGAACAUGCACUCAUU
rnacentral:lncRNA from 1 species